UGGGACAGGAGAGGAAGAUCUGGAGACUGGAGAAUGCGUAAUAGACUCUGAGAGAGGAGAUGAAUCAGAUAAAACAAGCUAUGGGAGAGUCUCAGAUGCAGUUUCAGAUGCUUCUCCUUGAGUGUCAGAUGCUUCUCUUUGAGUGUCAGAUGCACCAUUUGUACCAACAUCCACAGUAACAUCCACAGUAAUAGGACUCCCUCCAGAAGACUCCCCCUCUCGACCAGUUCCAGAGAUAACGGGAGAGGAAGAAGACACAGAAGAUAUAUAGAAUGGUUCAGACUCCCGAAAUGUUACAUCAAUACUGAUAAAC
rnacentral:lncRNA from 1 species